GAGUUUGAUCCUGGCUCAGAACGAACGCUGGCGGCGUGCUUAACACAGCAAGUCGAACGCGAACGGUUCCUUCGUAGUACAGUGGCGAACGGGUGAGUAACACGUAGGCAACCUGCCCGAGGGUCCGGCACAACCCUGCCAACGCGGGGCUAAUUCCGGAUAAUGCAGCGGAUCCGCAUGGAUAUGUUGUUAAAGGCGGGGAUCUUUCGAGACCUGCCGCCUUCGGAUGGGCCUGCGGUCCAUUAGCUUGUUGGUGAGGUAACGGCUCACCAAGGCUCCGAUGGAUAGCCGACCUGAGAGGGUGAUCGGCCACACUGGGACUGAGAUACGGCCCAGACUCCUACGGGAGGCAGCAGUGAGGAAUUUUGCGCAAUGGCCUAACGGCUGACGCAGCAACGCCGCGUGACUGAUGAAGCUCUAAGGAGUGUAAAGGUCUGUUAGGAGGGACGAACGGGGCGCUUUCGAACAGGGAGCGCCCGUGACGGUACCUCCAGAGAAAGCGCCGGCUAACUCCGUGCCAGCAGCCGCGGUAAUAC
rnacentral:rRNA from 1 species